rnacentral:rRNA from 1 species
UACGUAGGGUGCGAGCGUUGUCCGGAAUUAUUGGGCGUAAAGGGCUCGUAGGCGGUUUGUCGCGUCGGGAGUGAAAACUCAGGGCUUAACCCUGAGCCUGCUUCCGAUACGGGCAGACUAGAGGUAUGCAGGGGAGAACGGAAUUCCUGGUGUAGUGGUGGAAUGCGCAGAUAUCAGGAGGAACACCGAUGGCGAAGGCAGAUCUCUGGGCCGUAACUGACGCUGAGGAGCGAAAGCGUGGGGAGCGAACAGG